rnacentral:rRNA from 1 species
UGGUGCCAGCAGCCACGGUAAUUCCAGCUCCAAUAGCGUAUAUUAAAGUUGUUGCAGUUAAAAAGCCCGUAGUUGAAUUUCGGAAUCAAUUUGUUGGUCGUGCCUCGGUACGUACUGGUAUUAUUGGUUUCUACCUUCUGAAGAACCUUGAUGUCAUUAAUUUGGUGUCUUGGGGAAUCAGGACUGUUACUUCGAAAAAAUUAGAGUGUUUAAAGCAAGCAUACGCUUGAAUACAUUAGCAUGGAAUAAUGAAAUAGGACGUUUGAUUCUAUUUUGUUGGUUUCUAGGAUCGACGUAAUGAUUAAUAGGGAUAGUUGGGGGCAUUAGUAUUCAAUUGUCAGAGGUGAAAUUCUUGGAUUUAUUGAAGACUAACUACUGCGAAAGCAUUUGCCAAGGAUGUUUUCAUUAAUCAAGAACGAAAGUUAGGGGAUCGAAGACGAUCAGAUACCGUCGUAGUCUUAACCAUAAACUAUGCCGACUAGGGA